GCUUCUGUGGCCUAAGUAGUUAGUGCAUCCGCCUCUGAUGCGGGAGGUCGCGUGUUCAAACCCUGGCCGAAUCA